AUUGAACGCUGGCGGCAUGCCUUACACAUGCAAGUCGAACGGUAACAGGUCUUCGGAUGCUGACGAGUGGCGAACGGGUGAGUAAUACAUCGGAACGUGCCCAGACGUGGGGGAUAACGAGGCGAAAGCUUUGCUAAUACCGCAUACGAUCUAAGGAUGAAAGCAGGGGACCGCAAGGCCUUGCGCGGUUGGAGCGGCCGAUGGCAGAUUAGGUAGUUGGUGGGAUAAAAGCUUACCAAGCCGACGAUCUGUAGCUGGUCUGAGAGGACGACCAGCCACACUGGGACUGAGACACGGCCCAGACUCCUACGGGAGGCAGCAGUGGGGAAUUUUGGACAAUGGGCGAAAGCCUGAUCCAGCAAUGCCGCGUGCAGGAUGAAGGCCUUCGGGUUGUAAACUGCUUUUGUACGGAACGAACAGGCUCUGGCUAAUACCUGGGGCACAUGACGGUACCGUAAGAAUAAGCACCGGCUAACUACGUG
rnacentral:rRNA from 1 species